rnacentral:rRNA from 1 species
UACGGAGGGUGCAAGCGUUAUCCGGAUUCACUGGGUUUAAAGGGUGCGUAGGUGGGCAGGUAAGUCAGUGGUGAAAUCUCUGGGCUUAACUCAGAAACUGCCAUUGAUACUAUCUGUCUUGAAUACCGUGGAGGUCAGCGGAAUAUGUCAUGUAGCGGUGAAAUGCUUAGAUAUGACAUAGAACACCAAUUGCGAAGGCAGCUGGCUACACGAAUAUUGACACUGGAUGCACGAAAGCGUGGGGAUCAAACAGGA